AGUAAUUAUUGCAAAAUGAGUUUGAAUAUAAAUCUAACUGUCGACUUCAAAUAGUAAUAUAUCAAAAUCACUUUAUUCAUGUAGGUCACGGACGGUCAAAUGACACUUAUGAUUGUCAAAAAAAAAAUUUGUAUUUGAAUUUACCACCACGUCGCAAAGGCUAAUGUGAAGAAAUGAGAAGAUACUCAAAGCCACACAAUAGUGGAAAUUUAUACGUAAAAUACUUGAAAACAUUUGUUUCAUCAAAAUUGAUUCCUCAUGAUUAUUUUUUGAUUUCAAUUAACUUCUUCUAAAACUCUUCAAUUAUAUAUUUAAUAAAAUUUUCAAUUUAACUUCGGAAACAAAUGGCGCUCUGACAAGGAAGUGUUAAAAACUCUUUCAGUCAAAAUGAAUAUUUCGUGGCUAUCGAAUUAAACUGAGCUGUAACGCUCCGCUGCGUAACUCUUGCUCAGUUGCUGUUUUCGGCAGUUGAAGCUUGAGCCCUAGCUCCAACCGAAGUAGCCUGGAUAUGAGAAGGAGCCAGAGUAUCGCCGUAAGUCCCGUUUCACAACA